CCACAUAACAUGUCGACAUGUAACAUAUAAAUGCACAUACAGGUAAUCAAUUAGUAUCACAUGUAGUCCUACCGACCUACCAAACUAGCAUAACAAUUGGCAUACAUUACUAACUCAAAGUCAACCUAUCAGUAACUACUAAUAUAUCAAAUCCAAUGGGCCGACCUUGGUGCAUUAGACCCCUUAGUAUAGUGAGGAUAACUCACCUGGCACUACUGAAGUCCCGUUGAUACAACUCCAGCUGCUGAUUGACAGAUUCCCAAACUGUCAACAUCAAACAACACCCAAUUAAUAAUUGGGUUCCAAGCCCAAGGUCCAACUCACACUAUAAAAGCCCAAAAGUCAAUAAUGGGCCAAAGCCCAACAUAGGCCCAACUUUCCAAAUUGGGCCCAGACCUCUACACGGUCUUUCCUUAAGGCCCAUCCAAUUAUUCCAAUCCAAUUUCCAUGGCCCAAUAUCACAUAAUCAUAAAGGCCCAAUUCAAGGCCCAUGUGAAAUUAGGGUUUCACAUAAAAUGAUAAUUAGGGUUAAGUGUUUCUCACUUAACCCAUUAAGGACUUAAUUUGCUAAGGACUUAAUCCAUUAAGUCCAAUAUUGCUUUUAGGUUAAUUUUGUCAAUGAUUAUUAUUUAAUAUUCCAAGUUAUUAAAUAAUCUCGUGUGUGUCCCAAUUAAUUCUCAAAAUUAGGGUUUUAUGCCAUUAGGGUUUUCCAAACCUUACUUAAGGUUUCCUACCCAACCUUGGCCCAUUAAUCAAUUGGUUGGGCUUUUAGGUAACUUUGGGCCUCAUUGGGCCCACUAGGGUUUCAUUGAUCCCACAUUGUCUAAACAUCCCCCAAAUGGCGGCAGGAGGCGGCAACCACCACCCUACGGUGGUGGUUUGAGCUAUUCUUUUCAUUAUUCCUCUUUCUAGAUACAUUUUACAAUGCUAACUCCAAAUAAUCACACACACACACACUAAUACAAACACAUAUAGACAACAACCUAGUGGCGGAUGGUGGUGGCUCAUGGUGGCAGCCACUACCUCACAAUACGUAGAUAGCAGAAGUCGCUCCAGCAGCUCUAUUCCAUCGCAACACAUGAGCACAUACAUCAAAAUACGCACACAACAGAAGAGGCUUGCUCACGGACCCACCUUGCUCGCAAACUAAUUAAUUCACCUCUGAGGCAUACGACUCAGUAGCAACAAUGGCGCUAUGAUUGGCGGUAGGAGCAUGACGACAUCAACCAUGUGCCGGGAAGCAGCGUCAGCCGUACCGCCGCCUAGAAUGGCUGACGGCGACCGUGAAGCAGCAGAAGAAGGUGAAGGGGAGUGUUGUUGUUACGCCGAAUAAUGGGGUAACGGAGUUCGUUGGUCCCUGAGGUUCACCGCUUCGAUGACAGAGGAUAGCGACGGUAAAGCUUUGCUCGGCUGGAGGCUCACGACGUCGGUUAUGAUGAGACGAUGAAGCGGCGGCUGGGAUGCAUCGAUUCACAGCAGCUAUAUACAUGGAGGUUACGGGGUGGCGGCGCCGGAUAAUGGAGAAGAAGGGUGAUGGCGGCUGCCAUCUCUAUUAUGGUUAGGGUUUACUGCAUGAGAGUUAUAAAGAGUAUAUAUGUGGGUCUUAACAGGCGACGGGAAAGGGAGCCG
rnacentral:lncRNA from 1 species